UCUCAUCAUGCCUCUAGUGGCCAGAAGAGGUUAUUGUGGUGCUCAGAGCAAUAUUUUAGAAUUAUGACUUCUAACAGGAUCAUGGUGGCAUUCCUCUUGGUGUAGCCGCUGCCAGGCCUAACAGACCAUAAGAGGGGCCUGCCAGCCAUUUCCCCUCCUCAGUGUUGAUUUUUUUUUUUUUUUUAAAGAAUAUCCGAAGAUAUGGACAUGUAACAAACCACUCAUUGUAUAUCUCCAGGAGUCUGAGAAGUAAAUGAACCUCCAGAUUUUCACGGAAAGCUGCAAUAUUUCAGUGAACCAUGACUAAUGAAUGCAGAACAUGGCAAUUAUUGCAUGAGGAAUUCUGGUGGCAUUUUUAACAUAGCCAAGGCUUGGGUUUGAUGGCACAUGAAGCUGUAUACUUGCUAAAACUAAGCUCAUCUGGAUCUGGUUGGGAAAAACAUUUAGGAUGUCCUGUGCUUCUUCCAAAGAAUAUUAACUUGCAUUGAUUAAAUGACUUUGACCACAGCCUACUGGAAAUUUCUGCUGCACAAGCCACAGUGCACAGCUGCCAUUCAUCUCAAUGGGAAUUUGUGCCGAAUAGGAUUUGUGCAGAAGUACUUGGUGAGGCAGGGCUAUUGGACAGUAAUA